CACCCAGAAAGGCAACAGCUGGGGAGCUGGAAGCUGAGCGUGGGUGCCUUUGCAGGACCACUAGGGAAAUACAGUGCCUGCUGAUGCUGAAUUUAAACUUUGUAUGUUCUAUGGCUACUCCAGACAACUGUUAGUAUAAAAAG